rnacentral:rRNA from 1 species
UACGUAGGGUGCAAGCGUUGUCCGGAAUUAUUGGGCGUAAAGGGCUCGUAGGCGGUUUGUCGCGUCUGCUGUGAAAACUCAGGGCUUAACCCUGAGCCUGCAGUGGGUACGGGCAGACUAGAGUGUGGUAGGGGAGAUCGGAAUUCCUGGUGUAGCGGUGGAAUGCGCAGAUAUCAGGAGGAACACCGGUGGCGAAGGCGGAUCUCUGGGCCAUAACUGACGCUGAGGAGCGAAAGCAUGGGGAGCGAACAGG